CAUUGUGACUUCGCCGCCGCCAGGCCCCGACCCCGGAAGUGCCCGCCCUUGCUUCCGGGGUGGUGGUGGUUAUCGCAGGGCGGAUCCCGGAGCUCCACCCUUUUGUUCUCAGACGUCGCCUGGAGAUCCGCUACGAAGCCUCAAUAAGAUGGGGGAGAUUACUGCAUGAGGUUCACAAUCCCAUUAUCUGUCAGCACGAGAGAUAAGAAGUGCCACCAGUGUCUCUGGGAAAUCAUUUUUCAGUAGCCAUAGUAGAAGGGGAAAAAAAGCACCCAGCCAGCCCAGCCGGUCACCAGGGGGCCAUUUACCGUUCGAUGCUGCCUUUCGGACGAUUUGGGAUGAGCAGAGCGGCCUUGGAGUGGCCAGAGCCGUGUCUGGAAAGUUCCUCGCCUCGGCGAGACCCCAGUCAGAGUCGCAGCUGUGGACGUGCCGGCUUUUAAUGGAGCGGCCGCCGCAGCGAUAAUGGAGCUCCUCUCCAUAAUGGCGGCCCCCGUGUUCCUGCAAGGCCAUCUUGCUGUGCCCAACAGACACGAUUGAUUGUAGGAUCAGACUUCCUGAACGGAGGCUUAGAAUCACGCAGACAAAGAACUGAAGGCUGGGCUUUGUCGCUGAGUAUCUGGCCGUGGGGAGCCCGCGGGGAGCCCGCGGGGGAGAGGCCCCAGGACGGGAGCCACAGACGGGCUCGCUCUGAAUGGAGCUUGUCUUUAUGCCCCGCACCGUGCCUGGCACUCCGCUUUGAAAUGAAUGCGUGUUGACUGACCCAUUGAGAAGGCAGGCACUAUCCUAUCGGUUAUGUGGGAGCACAGUACAAGUCACAAAUCCCCCGAACCUCAGUUUCUUCCUUUUAAGAUGCGAGAUAACAGGGGCAGCUGGAUGGCUCGGUGGAUGGGAGGUCCUGCUUCAAAACUGGCCUCAGGCAGCCCCAGCUGUGUGACCCUAGACAAGUCACUUAGCCCUCAUGCCCAGCUCUUACCAUUCUUCCGCCUUGAAGCCAGUACACAUGCUGAUUCUAAGAUGGAGGGUGAGGGUUAAAAAAAAGAUGGGAGAUGACAGCCAUGCCACUUUCUUCCCUCUAUUGCUUUAUGCAACUGAAGGGAUGAUGUAUGCCAGGGGCUCUGCAAACCCUUAAGCCCUAUUGAAAUGGCACCUGCCACUCAUCUGUCCUGACCUGCAGAAGUCCACAGCUCCAUUGUGGAUUCUUGUGGUUUCUGACAUAAUUUAUGCUGGCCAGUCCCUUCCCUUUCCAUGGGAAAGAACACUGUAUUUGGGAGGAUGGUGGGUGGAGAACUAAAUUCCACUUUCGUUUUUCCUGCUUGUUGCCUGGGCCUCCACAGGCAUAGAAUUUUGUUGACCUAGGCUUGUUAUUCUCCUUGAAAUAUAAGGGGUGCAAUCUUGACAUUAUGGCGCAAGACUGUCAUCUCUGCUAAAGGGGAGACUGAGGCUGGCGUGUCGUGUGGUGGACCCAGGAGUUCUGAGCUGCAGUGGCUGCUGUUCUCAUUCCCCGGCACUGAGUGGGCACUUCAGAAAUAUUUGUUGAAUUGCAACAACUUGAAAGUGAUUAUUUUAUUUCAUUAAACACCAUUGCAUUGAACUGAAAGGAAAACAGAAGCAGUGAAAAAUCAGGGCUAAUAAUUGCAUGAGAAAAGAGGCUCUUCGAUAAAGAAUAUUUGAUAAAGGUACCCACAACAGGAUGGUGAGUCUGUGUAAGGAGAGAACCACUAGACUGCUUAAAGAUGGGAAAACUGGCCCAAGCUGGAAAGAGAGCAGCUCAAAGCUUCCAUGCUGAUCAAUAGCAGGAAAGGGCACAGGAAUGGCUAUCAUACUUCCAGUAUGGGUGGGAUAAGGAGACCCAGGCUAAAUAAAUGAGACCUGGGUCGUAUGGUUUUUAAGAUUCCUUCCAGUUCUAGAGUUCAUGAAAGGAAGAAAAAUAGGCUUCCAUGUUUACAGGAAUAGACACAACCAUCAGUUUUCAAUUUCGUGAAUUCUCAGGCUUCUAGAUUUCCCCCUACAGGGAUGAGGACUAUGUAAAACCCUUUGUAAACUUUAAAGCUCUGUAUAAAUGCUAGCUAUGGCUGUUAUUAUGUUCUGGUGGGUGAAUCUAUCUUGGAAAGAGAGGACAGAAAGACAGCUCGUUUCCUCCUCUAUCAUGCAGUUAUUAUCUCUGAUUUUUCUCUGCUUCCCAUUUCCUUUCAGUUCAAUGGAAGUAUGUUCAAUGAAAUAAGAAAAGCAUUUUCAAGUCUAUGCAGUUCAAGAAUUAUUUCCAAAGUGCCCACUCUGUGCCAGGGCACGAGAACAGGAGAUGGUCUGUGCAAAGCUAUGAGAAGGAAGGAGUAAGUGUCAUUUGUCAUCUUGUGUUGGAACUGGCGAUUCCAAGGGCCUUGCUUGCAGUUUUGCACACACACAGCUCGUUUUCUUGUGAACUCUUCUUUUUGGGAGUUAAAAAACAACAGCUUCUCAGUCAUUUUCAAAGACGGUUUGAAAGAGGGCUGUCUCUCUUUCCUCUUGUUUUAGGAAAGUGCUCUGUACAUUAGCAAAGUGCUUUAAUAAGCCACAAAGUGCUCGAUUACACGCCUGGGCUGCCGAAGAAGUAAACAGCACUUUGCUUAACAGAAAAUUACAAACUUUCCUCCUUCUAAACAGAUCCUUGAUGCUGCCGCACUGUAUAUGGAGAACAAGAUUCAAGUUAAACCACUUCUCAGAUUUGAAAAAACCAAACCCUGGUUACUUUACAUGAUUUUUGCUGCUCCCUUUCCAUUUUAGUACUGAUAAUCUUCAAACCAACAAAAGUGCCUAAUUAUUUUUCCUACCUCACAAAAUGGGGGAAGCAUUACAAGGAGGUAAACAUAGUUUUGAUGUUGUUUUUUUCUCUCAUCUUCCUCCUUUCUCAAAUUCUCUGACAGCGUGUCUAUCAGAGAACACUUAAUUCUUGUCUUUUUCUUUUGUUUCUCCCACUAAAUUUAGGGAUAGGAGCUGGACUUGCCUUUUCAUUAAUUUAGAGCACUUCCAGGGGAGGAAACUAUUUACCUCUGCAGGUUGGACCAUGCUCUAAAACUUAUAGAUUUGGAGCAUAGCCCAGAACGGCGGAGAAGUGACUUGUCCAGAGUCACACAGGUAGGAAAUGUCCAAGGUGGGACCCAAACCCCAGGGCUUUGUGGCUCAGAUAGAGAUCGUGAUUUUACCUUUAGAAAUACCUGAUGUUUGGUGAUUCAGUUUCUAUUGAAAGGUGGGGAAUUCUUGGAUAACAAGUGUCUUGAGUAGAAAAUCACAUCACAAGGUGGCUCCUGGGGCUGGUAAAAGCCAUGGCAAAGGGCUGAAGUCAUGCGGUGGAGGGCAAGGUUCCUGGAAUUUGUACUGUGCUGUUACUUUGAGGUAUUUAGAUGGGGUGUGUCUGCUGGACAGUGGAGCUCCCGUUGAGCAUCCUUUCUGGGGAAUCCAAACCCUCAGAGAAUCUUUGGAGGGUGAAAGAGGACUCACUGAAUGUUGGAGGUUACCUCUCUCACAGCCUUAAGUGUUUCUCUUUCAAGGGAAGUCCAAACAACAGGGUGAUGAAAUGAGCCUGGAGGACGUUAGGACCAUGUGGAAAGUGGGACAAGCAGGAGAGAGGAGGGAGGUAUUGAUUGUUUGUGAUCUAUUAGUCUUUUAUAGGUUUUUUGCAUUGUUUAUGGGCUCUUAUGAACUCUGCAUUUUCUAUGAGGUGGAAUUAAGGAUGUCCUGUACUCAAUGCAUGCAUUGUUAACUUGAGUGCUUGUAUGGGGUCUAGGGAAUCUUUUUAUCCAUAUCUAUGAAGGUCUAUACACAAGCAAUAUUUGGAGAUUUUUUGGGGGUGGAUGAAUAAAGAGCCAAAGAAAGAUAGGGCAAGGAAAUCCCCAGAUUGAACCCCGUCCAUGCGAACUCAGAACUUGGGUCAAAUGGAACCUCUAGGUAUAAGAUUGGAACAACUCAAGGCAGCUUCCUUGCAAUGACUCAGUUCCAUUCACUCUCCCAAACACUGAAGUGUUUAGGGGCACAAAAGUGUGGAGUAGCUAGGAGCAGGGGAAUGCAGAGGUACAAAAAGAAUCAAAUAAAGGACCCUCCUUUCAAGGAGUUUACAUACUGCUGGGGCUGAAAAGAAGGCUCCAUGCCCCUUUGCUUAUGUGAGUUACAAGACAUCCAAAUAGUCUUAGGGAUGAGGAACAUGACCAGCAGAGCUAUGUUUGGAGAGGCUUAUCGCUAGAGAGCUGGCCACCAGGAAAACAAUGGACUACUCCACAGCCACUGGGCAAGACCAUCUCCUGAUGAUGUUUCUAAGCCCUUACUGUCUAUUUUAGAAUUGAUAUUAAGAAUCAGUUCCAAGACAGAAGAGUGGUAAAGGCUAGGCAAUUGGGGUUAAGUGACUUGCUCAGGGUCUCACAUGAAGGAAGUAUAUGAGGCCAGAUUUGAACUUAGGUCCUUCUGACUCCAAGCCUGGCUCUCUAUCCACUGUGCUACUACCAAGCUACUUUCCCUUAAUGAUUUGCUACCCACUUUGGUCAAAGCAGGGCCUCCAUCAGUGAUGACCUGGGAAUACAGCUGUUCCUGCAAGGCAUCAGGAAGUAAACCAGGCCAGAAUGAGGUUGGAUAUGUUUUUCCUUCAGAGGACUGAAAGGGGACACAAAAGGAAAGUAGAAGCUGGAAAGAGACCAAUUUGGACUUUAUGUCAAGAUGAAGGUCCUAACAAGUUCUUCUUCCUUAGGAGGCAGGGGCUGUCAUCUUGCUGCAGAUCCUUAAGGAAAGGCAUGUUGACUUGGGAAUUCUUUUUUGGGUAAAGUUCAGAAUAAAUGGACACCACCAGGGUCUCUUGGGUGCUGGGAUUCUAUGACUCAUUUCCAGCAAAUGAAUGAAUGUCCUUCCCUCACAUCUCUUGCUUCCCCAUCUUAGCCCCAAAUAUAAUAGACUGAUGGCUUUCUGGAAGGGGGAGCAUGAAGCUUCAGCACCAGUGACUCCUAGCAUGCUACUGACAGGAGCUAAUUGUAUUUAUAUUGCUGAAUAAAACCCAAGUAGAAAAAAUGAAAUUCCAGUUGAGGGAAUAAGAUCAAUUGGAUUGUGUAUGUUUCAAUGAAUGCAAUCCAUUUGUCAGUGGAGUGAAGCGAAGGAUGGAAAGACUGACCCUACUCCAGGAGGGGGCCAAUUGUACUUUUCUUCAAAAUACUGCAAACACAUCAACACAGAGAAUGGAUCUGAAUGAGGAAACUGAGUUUCAGAUUUUGCCCAAUACCCUUCCUGGCUGGGUAGUUGCAAAAUCUGAGGUCAGAGGACUUCGCUUUGGAUCCUGGCUCUUCUUUUUACAGUUUGUGUGAUAUUGAACAAAGGACCUCUGCUUUCUGAACCUUCAUUUCCCUACCUGUAAAGUGGGUAUAAUAAUGCCUGGAGUGCUUACCUCACAGGAAUGGGGACAGCCAAAUGGGAACAGUGAUAUGUAGAAUACUCAAGAUUAUAAAGCAUGAUGUAGGUCAGCUCAAUGGAUUGAGAGCCAGGCACAGAUGGGAAGUACUGGGUUCAAAUGUGGCCUCAGACACAUCCUAGCUAAGUGACCCAGGGCAAGUCACUUAACCCCCAUUGCCUAGCACUUACCAUUUUUCUGCCUCAGAACCAAUAGAUAAUAUUGAUUCUAAGACAUGGUAAGGGUUUUAAGAAAAUAUGAUGCAAAUUUUUGUUAUAAUAAUUAUGCUGAUAUAAUGGAUACAGAACUGAACUUGGGGUCAGGAAGACUGGAGUUGGAAUCCUACCUCAUUUUCUUGCUAGCUUUGUGACCCUGUGCAAGUCACUUAGCCUCUGACUCACUCUGACUACCACUACUACUAGUCUAGAAAAGGAAAGAGGAGAGGAGGAAAACAUGAAGACUAAAACUCAAAUCUCAGAACAUUCCUCCCACAAAUAGUUAUUUAUUUGAUUGUUUAUCUGUUUGUUUAUUCAUUCAUUCAUUCAUUUAUUUAAUAAUUUAUUUUUUAUGCAUUCAUUCAUUCAUUCAUUCAUUCAUUCAUUUGUUUAUUUAUUUAUGCCCUGACUUUCUGUCUUAGUAACAACUUUAAGACAGAAGGGCAAGGGCUAGGUAAACAGGGUUAAGUGACUUGUUCAGGGCCAAGUAGCUUGGAAGUGUCUGAGGCUAUAUUUGAGCCCAGAACCUCCCAACUCCAGGCCUGGUACUCUAUUUGCUCUAUCCACCCCUCAACAAAUAUUUGUUUAAUGCCUAAGUAUUGGGCCAGACCCAGUGCUAGGCACCAGGCACACAAAGGACUCCUGCUUCACCUCCUGUUUGCAUUCCAUAGCAUCCUUAUGAGUAGUAUUUCUUUUAUUUCAGGAUAAACAAAAUGCAGUUUUUCUGGAUCUGCAGGAUGCCAGCUCAUUUGGCUCCUUCUCUUUUUGGUUCUUAUGAGAUGCUAACAUGUGUUAGGUAGGCAGCAAUGAAUUUAAUUAUUGCUAAUAGCACAAAUUGGAAUUCUUUGUGGUGCCCAAAAUGUCAUGAUGUGAUAUUAGCUGUGAUAGUCCAUAUUUGGAAUUGUAGCACUGAUUGUUAAUAAAUCUUCCUUUUUGAUGAUAAUCACUCAUAAUUCUAUUAUGUUUUCCAUAUAAUAACUCUGGAAGGGACAUAGUAUGCUGUUGCCCUUUUAUAAAUGAGGAAGCUGGGGCACUAGGUGGCUCAGUAGAUAGAGAGCCAGGCCUGGAUGGGACAUCUUGGGUUCAAAUUUGGCCUCAGAUGCUUCCUAGUUGUGUGAUCCUGGGCAAGUCACUUAACCCCAUUGCCUAUCCCUUAUCACUUUUCUGCUUUGGAACUGACACUUAGUAUGGAUUCUGAGAUAGAAGGUAAAGGUUCAAAAAUAAGUGAGGAAGCUGAGGCUUGAUCAAGAAUACACCACUGGCAAGGACUGAAGCCUAAUAUUCUUCCCACCAUUGCACAAAGCCUUUUGACCAUAGAUUGAUGGAGCUAGAAGGAACCUUAGAGGCCACCUAGUCCAAUGCCCAGGAGUCAGAGUUCUCUUGCCCAUAUUCUCCCAGCCAGUCAGUGGCAGAGUUCCUCUUCUGGUUCUCAGCCCAGUUACCUACAGCUGGAAGAGCUCUUGGAGACUGUUUGGGUCCGGGAAGCUCCCCAGGCAUUUACACAUGAGAAAAGUAGGGCCCGUGGAGAAGUGACUAGCUCAAGAUCUUACCGACACUCAGAAGUAGAGCUGGGAUUCAAACCUAGGUCUUCUGAUCCCCAAACCCAGAUUCUCGCAGAAUCUCAGAAUCUGAAGAGUCCUCAGAGUCUAGUCCAAACUAUAUCAGAGCAAGAGUCCCCAUGUGACCUAGCUGAUGAGUGUCCACCUCAGUUUUGUCGAUCUGCCUCCUGAAUUAACCUACCCCAUCUUCAGAUAAAUCUAAUUAAGAAGAAAGCUUUGCUUACAUGAACCCAAAAUUUGUCCUGCAAACCUUCUCCCCACCACCUAUUGCUGUUGCUUCUGCCCUCUGGGGCCAAGUCGAAGCAAUCGAUGUCUGUUUUCUGUGAAAGUCCCUCAGAUAGUUGAAGGAAGCCCUCAUAUUCCUGACUCACGUACCUUCUCUUAGGUGAAUACCUUAUGGUUAAUCGCAUGGCAUCAUCUUGAUAUCCUCCACCAUCACAGCUGCUCUCCUACUCUGGACAUUAUCUAGCUAAUAAAUGUUCCUACUGAGUAUAGUUCCUAGGACUGAAUACAAUCCUUCAAGAUGUUGUCAAACUAGGGCAGAAUAUGGAGGAGCUCUGUAUACCUUCCUUCCCUAAUCCUGGAUGGAGCAAUACUUUAAAUCGAGGCUAAAAUCAUCGUUGUUGUUUAGUCAUUUUUCAGUCAUGUCUGACUUUUCAUGAUCUCAUUAGGAUUUUCUUGGUUUACCAUUUCCUUCUCCAACUCAUUUUACAGAUGAGGAAUGUGAAGCAGACAGAGUUAAAUGGUUUGCCCAGGGCCACAUAGCUAGUUAAGUAACUGAGGCCAGAUUUGAAUUUAGGAAAUGAGUCUUCUUGCCUCCAGGUCUGGCACUCUAGCUACUGUACCACUUGACUACCCCAGGCAGAGAUUACAUGAGCUUUUUGGCUAAUAUUCCAUAUUGUUGACUUAUAGUGAGCCUGUAGUUCACUAAAAUCCCUGAGUUUUUUCAGAUUAAAAAGCGAUGCCAUGGGCAGUUAGAUGACCCUCAUUGCCUAGCCCUUACUGGUUUUUUGGUCUUGGAACCAAUAAUGAUCCUAAGAUGGAAGGUAAGGGUUUAAAAAAACAACCACGUCUCCUCCAUCUUAAUCUUAUACUUGUGCAUGACUGUAUAUGUCCCCAUUCAAUUUCAUUUCAGUUGAUUUAACACAAUGUUCUAGAAUCUUUUCCAUAAUCUUUUGGAAUCUUGAGUUUACCGUACAGUAUUCUAGUAAUCAUUCUCAGCUUUAGUUAGUCCACAAAUUUGAUAAUCAUGCUAUCUAUGCUUUUAUCCAAGUAAAUAGAAAAAUGUUUAAUGACACAGGCCAGUUAUAGAUACCUGAAGAACUUUGCUGGUAACCUUUCAAGUUGACACUGAACCAUUAAAGAGUACUUUUUGUGUCCAGUCAUUCAGCCAGUUCCAAAUCCACCCAACUUUUCUGUUGUCUAGGCUAGAAUCUCCAUCUUUUCUGUAAGAAUAGUACCAGAAUGGGGUAACCUCCUUGCCUCAACUGGUGUAGUCAGAGAAGGCAGGUACCUCAAUUAAAUCAACCACUUAAUUCCUAAACGAACUUUCCUGUCCUCUGCCGUCUUUCAUAGCUCAUGGACAAUGGCUCAGCAGUCAUACCCACUGGCUCUUCCAGUACUCAAAAUGUUGUUCAUCUUGGCCAGGCAACUUGAACUCACCAGGGGACACUGUGUUCUGCUAUCACAUCCUUACUUGCCUUGUACAAAUCAGCAACUUUUGAGGUUUGGGGGGGCUAUCCUUCCCAGAAAAAGAGUUGAGCAAUUUUGCCUUCACUGUGCCAUCAACACCCAUUGGCUCAUUCAGCCUGAGCACCCACAUCCUAGUCAUUUUUUAUCUGCCUCGAUUCCCAAGCCCAACUAAAAAGAUGUUUUGUUGUCUUUACUAUUUGUUCCCCAAUACAGCCUGUUCUUUAUGGCUAUGGUAAAAUGGCCAUUCAGCAGCUACCCUUGGCGUAUGCCUCCUGGCUUCAUGUCCAAAUGAGAGCAAUGGUCCUGGAAAGAACCCUAAGAAAAGAAGACUGAAAAAAGUCUCAACUGGGGAUGCUUAGCCUGGAGGAAAGAAGUGUCAGGGACAUGCUAGCUGUCUUCAAGUCUCAGAAGGGCUGUCAUGUGGAAGAGGGAUGAGAUGUGUGGACUUGAGAGCAGAUUUGAGUUGUUCCAAAUAGAAUGGACUACUUUGGGAAGUAGAGAGUGGAUUCUUCCAUUAUUGGAAGAAGGUAGAUGACUCUCUUUUUGUCAGAUAUGCUAGAGAGAAGGGUCUUACCAGUGGUGUUCUGGAACCAAACUUGAACUGGCUUGUGAGAGCUGAUUGUUAAAUUUUCUGAGUGAGCAUUUCAACUUUGGAAAUUGGCUGAUGCUAUAAACAGUGUUUAGUUUCUUGUUUUGUUUAUAACCUAUAACCAAGAACGGCAAUGGAGAAAAUAUUAAUAAUGCAGAUUAAGAUGAAAAGUUUUUCAUGUGCAUAUUCCUUCUUUCCCCCCCACCCUGUGAAAGUUGGUUGUUAAACAUUCAUCAGCACACCAUUGGCUUUUACUCAGAUCUGGUCUAGUCUAGAUGAUGUCUGACAUUCCUCUCAAUACAGAAACUCUGAAUAAUAUGUCUGUUUUCCCAUUAUACUUUCAAGGCUCUAUAGUAAUUCUGUAGCAACACACUGUAAUGGGCAUGUCCCUAAGACACUGGAAUUUGAAUGGGUGAACUUUAAGUCUUUUCUCAUCAAAUGUAAUUUGCCUGACAGAAUUUGGUGGCCUCAAACAAAGUCUGAUGUGCAAAGGGAAAAUGAAAAUCUUGACCUGUCAGAAGGCAAAUCAUUGCUCUGAGUUUAAUAGCCAUUGACAGAGAAGGGGCCAGUGGGCUGGAAGGAAGAUCAUCUUUUAGCCAAAAGCAUCAUCCAGUUUGAAAUUAAAAACAAAAAAGAUUCUAUUAAGUUAAAACAGCUGGAAAACAAAAUCUAAUAAAGAAAAAAUGCUUGAUUUCAAUGAUUUGCUUUUGGAGGGCCAGUGGACCCUUCAGUGCACAUGUGACUAGAAUGACUAAGCAUCAGGUGUUUGACUUUAAGUAUAAAUGGAUAUUUAUUGACAAAAGUCAAUCUAGAAAGAGGCAGAGUCAACUUAUAGCUUUUAAGUUUAUUGCCUUUCCCUGCCAGCCCAAAUUUCAUGCCUUCUUUUCUGAUUUUUAUGAUCAUGUGUGGGUGUAGACAGAAAGAGCUAUCACAGACAGAGGUAUAGACAACUGGAGAAACCGAACAGCACCAUUUGGCCAGAUGCAUUUGUAUUGCUGAAGAUGAUGAAGAAAAAGUUUGGGCUGCUGUGGCAGUUUUCGGACCUUUGAGGGAGACGGGUGUACUUCUAUUUAGGCAACAUUUUCAGAUGGAGAAAUCAUCUUAACCAUUUCUAAACUCCUUGUGAAAAUCUCUCCUUUUCCUGAAUGAGCUGUCUUGUUCUAAGGGUUUUUUUUAAUUUGCAAUUUUGCUUCUAAAGAGAACCUAGAAGAGAUCAUUGUAAUAAUAAUCAAUCAACAAGCAAGUAUUUUUAAGAACUCACUAUGUGCCUGGGAGAGAGCUGUCUUGGAUUGAGAAAUUACCUUGGGGUUAGGAAGACCUGGGUUUAGAUCCUGCCUCUGAACAUAUUCUUUCCAUGUGACUCUGGGCAAGUUGGCUAACCUCUCCCUGUCCCAAACAACUUUGAUACUGUAAUUUGCAUGAAAUAUUAGAACUGGAGGGCAAUUCUGAGGCUCUCUUGUCCAACUUGGCCAUUUUACAGUGGAAGAGACUGAAGGUUUAAGGGAUUACUCAGCUAGUGACAGAGAGAGAAUUCAAAACCAGAUUCUUGGUCUUUUUUUACUGUUAGGUUCUGUGGCUAUGAAGCAAAACCAACCGGUCCCUGUUUUCAGGAAGUUUACCUACUAUUGGAAGGAGAUAACAUUAACAUAAAUAAAUUGGUAUAAAGUAAUUGGAAGAGAGAGAGAGAGAGUAGUAUAUCCUAAGAAUUAGGAGGACAAGGAAGGGUUUUCCAAAGCUGCUAUUGUUGUGAGGAUCAAAUGAGAUAAUAUUUAUAAUAAGCAGUUAGUGGAAGGCCUGGCACAUCAACAAAUGCUUAUAUCCCAAAGAGAUUUUUAAAAAAGUGUGUGUGUGAGUGGGAAGGACCUACUUGUACAAAAUUAUUUAUAGCAGCCCUUUUUGCAGUGGCAAAGAAUUGGAAAUUAAGUGGGUGUCCAUUAAUUGGGGAAUGGCUGAACAAAUUGCGGUACAGGUUGGUGAUGGAAUGCUAUUGUGCUAUCAGAAUGAUGAGGAGGAUGAUUUCAGAAAGAGCUGGAAAAACCUCCAUGAACUGAUGCAGAGUGAAAUAAGUUGAACCAGAAGAACAUUGUACACAGUAACAGCAAUGUUGUGGAAUGAUCAUCUGUGAAAGACGGUUUCUCUCAGUAAUAUAAUGAUCCAGGACAAUUCUGAGCCACCUAUGACCAAGAACACUAUCUACCUCCAGAGAAAGAACUGUGGGAGUCAGAAUGCAGAGCAAAGCAUAAGAGUUUUCACUUUAGUUUAUUUGGGUUUUUAUUUUUGCGUUUCGGUUUUGUGUGAUUAUUCUCCUACAAAAAUGAACAAUAUGGAAAUCUGUUUUGCCUGACAAUACAUGUAUAAUCCAGACCAAAUUGUUUGCCAACUCCAGGAGUGGGGAAGGAAGGGAGGGAAACAAUUUGGAUCAUAUAACUUCAGAAAACUUAUGUGGAAAAUUGUUAUUAUAUGUAACUGGUAGAAUAAAAUAUCUUUACAAAAAU